UACGUAGGCAGCAAGCGUUGUUCGGAGUUACUGGGCGUAAAGCGUGCGCAGGCGGCUUCUCAAGUCAGGGGUGAAAGCCCAGAGCUCAACUCUGGAAUUGCCUUUGAGACUGAGUGGCUUGAGUACGAGAGAGGUGAGUGGAAUUCCCAGUGUAGAGGUGAAAUUCGUAGAUAUUGGGAAGAACACCGGUGGCGAAGGCGGCUCACUGGCUCGUAACUGACGCUCAUGCACGACAGCGUGGGGAUCAAACAGG
rnacentral:rRNA from 1 species